rnacentral:lncRNA from 1 species
AGGAGUGGGCUGAAAGGAGUGGGAAGGAAGGAUGCAGAGGCAGUGCGGGAGGAAAGCCUUCUGUUGCCAUGGAGGGAGCCGCAAGGGCUUUCCCUGUAUCCCGGAAGACAAGUGAGUCCUCACCCCCUUGAGUGGGAUCUGGAACCUCUGCACAGGCCUGGCCACCCCACCACCAUCCCGCCCCUCCCCCCAUGGCUAUCGUUUCCCUGUCCUGUUGGUCCGCCUUUUGUAUGGAAGGUAGCAAGCAGCCCCUUUCCAGGAGGCCUGUUUGCCAGCACGACAGCAGCAAAUUAGUGCUCUUAAAAGGCAUUCAGCAUUUAUCCCGGCAAACGCGCUCACUCGCUGCAAAGGGGGCCUGUUGUGCCUUCUCCCCGAAUCUGCUGAAAGGGGGGUUCGUAGCACAUCUUAAUCGGCUUCCUUCCACCCACCACAUUAAAUGCAUUUCAUCUA